rnacentral:rRNA from 1 species
AGAGUGGCGGACGGGUGCGCAACGCGUAUGCAACCCACCCCGACCCGGGGCAUAGCCGGUGGAAACGCCGGGUAAUGCGCCAUGAGCCGCGCAGGGGGCAUCCCCGCGUGGCAAAGCGAGAGCGGGACGGGACGGGCAUGCGUCCCAUUAGCUUGUUGGCGGGGUGAAGGCCCACCAAGGCGACGAUGGGUAGGGGAUCUGAGAGGACGGUCCCCCACACUGGUACUGAGACACGGACCAGACUCCUGCGGGAGGCAGCAGUAAGGGAUAUUGGUCAAUGGGCGGAAGCCUGAACCAGCCAUGCCCGCGUGAGGGAAUGAGGCCCUACGGGUCGUGAACCUCUUUUAUUCGGGGACAACGGCGGCGUCGCGAACGCCGUGUGAGGGUACCGAAGGAAUAAGCGUCGGCUAACUCCGUGCCAGCAGCCGC